CCGAGGCCGCGAAGAAAACAUCUCCAAUUAUAUGCCGUCGAUGACAUCCUGACCCUUCUUCCCCACGUGACGGUGGUGGGAAACAAUUUCAAGUAAGAACAGUGUGGAUCUCCUGGGAAGUAUUAAUGGUGAGGAGUUGGCUGCUGUAGGAGGAAAUCAGCUGUGCGUGUAUUAUUACCUGCUGUGGAGUUCUUCAAAGGUUCGCCCCUGUCUAGAUGUCUUGACUUGUCGGUUGGUAGAAGCCUCAGAAAAGGAACGUCUGACGUCUAUUCCCUCGAAGGUCUGUGAGUUACAUCACUUCCUGUUUCCCUGUAUAUUCACCGUAAACGUAUGCCCAAAGCUAAAGCCAGCAUAUUGUGUUGUACACUCGCCUGUAUGCCCAGAGUGAAGUCCCAGUUGUAUUGGAUGUACUUACCUUAUGCCCAAAGCUAAAGCCAGCAUAUUGUGUUGUACACUCGCCUGUCUGCC
ensembl:lncRNA